rnacentral:rRNA from 1 species
ACUCCUACGGGAGGCAGCAGUGGGGAAUAUUGGACAAUGGGCGCAAGCCUGAUCCAGCAAUGCCGCGUGAGUGAGGAAGGCCUUAGGGUUGUAAAGCUCUUUCACCCACGACGAUGAUGACGGUAGUGGGAGAAGAAGCCCCGGCUAACUUCGUGCCAGCAGCCGCGGUAAUACGAAGGGGGCGAGCGUUGUUCGGAUUUACUGGGCGUAAAGGGCGCGCAGGCGGUUUUGUAAGUCAGAUGUGAAAGCCCCGGGCUCAACCUGGGAACUGCGUUUGAAACUACAAGGCUAGAGUGUAGCAGAGGGGGGUAGAAUUCCACGUGUAGCAGUGAAAUGCGUAGAGAUGUGGAGGAAUACCAAUGGCGAAGGCAGCCCCCUGGGUUAACACUGACGCUCAUGCACGAAAGCGUGGGGAGCAAACAGGAUUAGAUACCCUGGUAGUCCACGCCCUAAACGAUGUCUACUAGUUGUUGGGAGAGUAAAAUCUCUUAGUAACGCAGCUAACGCGUGAAGUAGACCGCCUGGGGAGUACGGUCGCAAGAUUAAAACUUAAAGGAAUUGACG